rnacentral:misc_RNA from 1 species
AACUUUGUACAAUGGAUCUCUUGGCUCUCGCAUCGAUGAAGAACGCAGCGGAAUGCGAUAAGUAAUGUGAAUUGCUGAAUUCAGUGAAUCAUCGAAUCUUUGAACGCAUCUUGCGCUUCUUGGUAUUCUGAGGAGCAUGCCUGUUUGAGUGUCAUUAAUAUCUCAACCACAUCCAUUUUAUUUUGGCAUGUGGCUUGGACUUGGAGGGAUGUGCAUGCUCUGACUCUUGUAGUCUGCUCCUCUGAAAAAUAUGAGCGGUACCUAUAUUGGAACUUUGGCUAGGUGUGAUACAUAUCUGCAUCUAAUCAAUCCAAGUGAAAAAGGUCAUACUGCCGAUCAUUACAACUUGAUAAACUUGACCUCAAAUCAGGUAGGACCACCCGCUGAACUUAAGCAUAUCAAUAAGCGGAGGCU